GCCGGCGGGAAUGGAUUCUUGAGCCCCUUAUUUACCUGGCGCCAACCUAAUAAAAGAUCGAAGAAAUGCUUAGGUCACCCGAGAGAGGCCUACGGGGCAUUACGAGAGAAAAAGCUCCUAGGCCGUGGGUCAGAGAGCUACAGGUACACCUGGGGCAACAGAGCACUCAGGCGGGGUCGGGGCAAGGGCAGCACGUCACGGAAGUUCUCAGCUUAAUCUUACCAGCGCUAUAUCUUGGGUGCGCGAUAUGGUGGGACUGUGACGCACAGACACCCCCAAGCAUCCCUGAGUUACAGCUGCAAUUUUGGCGGAGGCAACGCAAAUCGGGGAACCGGCAAGUUCUUCCGCAGAAGUCAGGCAGCUAGUAGACCACCUCAGUGAGCAAGCCAGGG